GGAUGCGAUCAUACCAGAACUAACACACCGGAUCCCAUCAGAAAUUCGAAGUUAAGCGUGCUUGGACGAGAGUAGUACUAGGAUGGGUGACCCUCUGAGAAGUCCUCGAGUUGCAUCCC